rnacentral:rRNA from 1 species
AGAGUUUGAUCAUGGCUCAGGACGAACGCUGGCGGCGUGCUUAACACAUGCAAGUGGAGCGACGAACCAGGCUUCGGCCUGGGGCAGAGCCGCGAACGGGUGAGUAACACGUGGGUAACCUGCCUCGAUGACCGGGACAACCCGGGGAAACCCGGGCUAAUACCGGAUGUGCUGCCCUCACAUCAGUGAGGGUUGGAAAGGAAGCUUCGGCCUCCGCAUUGAGAUGGGCCCGCGGCCCAUUAGCUUGUUGGUGAGGUAACGGCUCACCAAGGCUGCGAUGGGUAGCUGGUCUGAGAGGACGAUCAGCCACACUGGGACUGAGACACGGCCCAGACUCCUACGGGAGGCAGCAGUGGGGAAUCUUGCGCAAUGCGCGAAAGCGUGACGCAGCAACGCCGCGUGGGGGAAGAAGGCCUUCGGGUUGUAAACCCCUUUCAGGAGGGACGAAGGUCGGGCGGUGAAUAGCCGACCCGACUGACGGUACCUCCACAAGAAGCCCCGGCUAACUACGUGCCAGCAGCCGCGGUA